rnacentral:misc_RNA from 1 species
UGUUGUGUAGUGUACUGGC